rnacentral:rRNA from 1 species
GAUGAACGCUGGCGGCGUGCUUAACACAUGCAAGUCGAACGGUGAAGCCAAGCUUGCUUGGUGGAUCAGUGGCGAACGGGUGAGUAACACGUGAGCAACCUGCCCUGGACUCUGGGACAAGCGCUGGAAACGGCGUCUAAUACUGGAUAUGAGCCUCUUCCGCAUGGUGGGGGUUGGAAAGAUUUUUUGGUCUGGGAUGGGCUCGCGGCCUAUCAGCUUGUUGGUGAGGUAAUGGCUCACCAAGGCGUCGACGGGUAGCCGGCCUGAGAGGGUGACCGGCCACACUGGGACUGAGACACGGCCCAGACUCCUACGGGAGGCAGCAGUGGGGAAUAUUGCACAAUGGGCGAAAGCCUGAUGCAGCAACGCCGCGUGAGGGAUGACGGCCUUCGGGUUGUAAACCUCUUUUAGCAGGGAAGAAGCGAAAGUGACGGUACCUGCAGAAAAAGCGCCGGCUAACUACGUG